rnacentral:rRNA from 1 species
AGUGAAGUGGGAAAAGCUCAACUUUGUAAUCUGGCAGCUUCGCUGUCCGAGUUGUAGUCUCGAGAAGUGUUUUCCGCGCUGGAUCGUGUAUGAGUCUGUUGGAAUACAGCGUCAUAGAGGGUGAGAACCCCGUUCGUGACACGACUACCAGUGCUUUGUGAUACAUUUUCGAUGAGUCGAGUUGUUUGGGAAUGCAGCUCAAAUUGGGUGGUAAAUUCCAUCUAAAGCUAAAUAUUGGCGAGAGACCGAUAGCAAACAAGUACCGUGAGGGAAAGAUGAAAAGCACUUUGGAAAGAGAGUUAACAGUACGUGAAAUUGUUGAAAGGGAAACGUUUGAAGUCAGACGUGCGUUGUGCGAUUCAGCUCCGGUUCGCCGGAGUGUAUUUCGUACUAUUGCAGGCCAGCAUCGGUUUGGCGAGCCGGAUAAAGGUUAGAGAAAGGUAGCGGUCCAGGCCGUGUUAUAGUCUUUAACUGAAUACGGAUUGCUAGACCGAGGGACGCAGCGCGCCGCAAGGCAAAGCUUUCGGGCUUUUCGCGCUUAGGAUGCUGGUGAAAUGGCUUUAAAUGACCCGUCUUGAAACACGGACCAAGGAGUCUAACAUGCUUGCGAGUGUUUGGGUGUCAAACCCAUACGCGUAAUGAAAGUGAAUGGAGGUGGGAUCCUUUACCGGAGCACCAUCGACCGAUCCGGAUUUUUAAUGAUGGAUUUGAGUAAGAGCACGUAUGUUGGGACCCGAAAGAUGGUGAACUAUGCCUGAAUAGGGUGAAGCCAGAGGAAACUCUGGUGGAGGCUCGUAGCGGUUCUGACGUGCAAAUCGAUCGUCAAAUUUGGGUAUAGGGGCGAAAGACUAAUCGAACU